rnacentral:rRNA from 1 species
UAUGGCUGUUCGCCAUUUAAAGUGGUACGCGAGCUGGGUUUAGAACGUCGUGAGACAGUUCGGUCCCUAUCUGCCGUGGGCGUUGGAAGAUUGAAGGGGGCUGCUCCUAGUACGAGAGGACCGGAGUGGACGAACCUCUGGUGUUCGGGUUGUGUCGCCAGACGCAUUGCCCGGUAGCUAAGUUCGGAAUUGAUAAGCGCUGAAAGCAUCUAAGCGCGAAGCGAGCCCUGAGAUGAGUCUUCCCUGACAGUUUAACUGUCCUAAAGGGUUGUUCGAGACUAGAACGUUGAUAGGCAGGGUGUGUAAGCGUUGUGAGGCGUUGAGCUAACCUGUACUAAUUGCCCGUGAGGCUUAACCAUACAACACCCAAGGGGUUUUGUA